UAGAUUGGGCUUGGUCGGCAGG
rnacentral:miRNA from 1 species